rnacentral:misc_RNA from 1 species
GAAAUGCGAUAAUUAAUGUGAAUUGCAGAAUUCAGUGAAUCAUCGAGUCUUUGAACGCACAUUGCGCCCCCUGGUAUUCCGGGGGCAUGCCUGUCCGAGCGUCAUUGCUGCCCUCAAGCACGGCUUGUGUGUUGGGCUUCCGUCCCUGGCAACGGGGACGGGCCCAAAAGGCAGUGGCGGCACCAUGUCUGGUCCUCGAGCGUAUGGGGCUUCGUCACCCGCUCCCGUAGGUCCAGCUGGCAGCUAGCCUCGCAACCAAUCUUUUUAACCAGGUUGACCUCGGAUCAGGUAGGGAUACCCGCUGAACUUAAGC